AUUGAACGCUGGCGGCAGGCCUAAUACAUGCAAGUCGAGCGAACGAAGGGAGCUUUCUCCUGGAUUCCGCUGCCGGCGGACGGGUAAGUCCCACGUAUCUACCCUGCCUAUGGGGCUAACGUCAGUUCACGGGCCCUAAGACCGCACACGACCAGAUGUAGAAACGCGUGGUUCUUUGGACAUAACCGUAUUUGCUGAGCCUUGUACGUGUAUCCGCGCCGGAUUAGCUAGUUGGUAAGGUAACGGCCUACCAAGGCUACGAUGCGUAGCCGAUCUGAGAGGGUGAUCAGCCACACUGGAACUGAGACACGGUCCAGACUCCUACGGGAGGCAGCAGUGGGGAAUAUUCCGCAAUGGGCGAAAGCCUGACGGAGCAACGCCGCGUGUGUGAUGAAGGUCUUCGGAUCGUAAAGCUCUGUUAGUAGGGAAGAAGGAAAGUGUAUUAAACUAUGGACGUCUUGACGGUACCUACACAAAAAGCCACGGCUAACUUCGUG
rnacentral:rRNA from 1 species